rnacentral:lncRNA from 1 species
UCUGUUCUCUUCCAUGUUUUCAUGUUAUCACAUGCAAAAGCGACAACGAUCCUGCAUUUCAACAACAACAACAACUACCCAGUAUAGUCCCACAAGGUGGGUCUGGGGAGGGUAAUAGGUAGACGGGCCUUAUCCCUACCCGAAAGGGCAGAGAGGCUGUUUCCAAUCGACCAUGCAUUUCAGUAGCUUAAUUAAACAACAAAUUAGAGGUACACAUUAAUUUUCAGACUUUAACAUCUCACAUGCAGCCAGCCAAGCCAUUUUCUGUAGGAUUUACUUGGAUGCCUUCUCAUUUUAGCAUUACCAACAACUUUG